GAAGACCACAUGAACAUGGCUAAGAAGAAAGUCCCCUUGGAUAGGCUCCUGGUUCCUGGUUAUUCAAUAAGCAGGACUGAAAAUUGUUGGACGGAUGGAUGGAUGUAUGGAUGAUAUCCAGAUCCCAUUCAGACUCGUCAGUAGGUUGCAACAGAGCAUCAAAGCACCAUGGCUCCUCGGCAGAAGUUGCCACGGAAAUCACAUUUCCCACUUUCAUCUACAAAUGCUCCGGGAAAAAAGAACUAAGAAACUGCAAAAUGCAAGAUUCUGAAGAUUUUUCCCUUGAGGGACAACUAUAAAAAGACUCUCUCUUCUGACAAUCAACUGUCUCUUCUGACAAUUGCAAAGCACUGACUCUAAAGAAAAAAUAUUAUAAAUAAACAUUCUACAUCCUCACAGAAAACUUCACCAUACACACAUUUCUAAAAUUUGUUUAUGUGGAGCGUUUACAUUGCAUAUCCAUGUAUAAGUUACUACAGAAUAGUUUUUAGAAGUUUUGACCCUGUUUGUCAUCCAUAAUACGUAUCCUACAGUACCUUGCUGCAAUAUGUCAAAA